UUUUUUAUAUACAGAAUUGUUUCCGUAUGUCUAAGUAGCUAUAUAUGGGGAGAUUUUUUUUUUAAUUGGCAUAUUUUGUAGUAGUUCCCAUAUACGUAUUUCUACAUGGCAACCUUAUUCAUUUUUGGAGUAAUCUCCUCUGUAGCGCACUAUUUUAAAGUAGCCGCUUUAAAUAUUUUAGAGUGAUUGCUCUGUAGGAAAUUAUUUUCAUUGUGACAGGUACAACUGUUUUGAGAAUCGUCACUUUAGGAAAUAAGUUUUCAAAAUCAUAGCUUUUAAUAUUUUUGAGAAACUCCUUAUACCUAAAGACUGAUACAUUCAUUAAAUUAUUUCUUUGAUUUCAUUUGGACACCAAUGUUGGUUUUUUUUCAAAUUUAAGGACCUUACUGUGUACUAUCAAGUAUUACUCAAUAACUAUAGGGUUAUAACCUUUAAAAAAAUGUAGGGUCUCUAUAAGAUUAGUUUAGGUACAUAUGUAGACCAUAUACAGUGAAAAGUUGUCAUGUGAGCAACUCAGGCUCUGGAGCUUAUAGAUGAAUUCCUG
rnacentral:lncRNA from 1 species